AGUCUCUGAGGGCCACAGCUUCAUUUACAUGAGGUGAACACAAAGUGGCCAAUGGGAAAUCUCUAGGGGGUAUUUGGACCUGAGAAGAUUCUAUAUCCAGGCCCUUGAGCUGCUGCCGCUGCCGGCUCCCACACUGUGGAGUGUACUUUCACUUUCAAUAAGUCUCUGCUUUUGUUGUAUCAUUCUUUCCUUGCUUUGCUGUGUGUUUUGUCCAAUUCUUUGUUCAAAAUGCCAAGAACCUGGCCAACUUGGAGUCAAGACCCUCUACCGAACUUGAAGAUUUUUAGUGUUAUGCCUACUCUGCCAAUUCUUGGAACAUUUGCGGAACUGAGAAUUUACUUCUUCGUUUAUUACUUCCUAACUACAUUUUAAAGCACAGAUGAUGGCUGAAUAGGAACAGCUCCGGUCUGCAGCUCCCAGCGAGAUCAACGCAGAAGGCGGGUGAUUUCUGCAUUUCCAACUGAGGGUGUAACACUGUGACCAACGAAGAGAGUGUUUUCUAUCAGUGACUCGCAGACUUCCCUUUCACUGGAAUCCAGCUUAUUAGCUGCAUGGUUAACUUUGGAGCCAGGAAAACAUCCUGCACAUGACACUGCCAUCAAGCAGAGGAGACAUGUUUCUCGGCUUCCCCUCUCUGGGACUUAAUAGCCUCUGAAGGCUAGCCUUUACUGACUCAUGAAGCUGUGUCUGCCUGGGGUCAGUGGUGGAGACAUUGCGUUAACCCCAGCAAGCGAGCCAUCACCAGAGCUUUGCACAGGGAGACACCACAUAGAAAGGCAGAUGAGGCAACACACACACCAUCCCCAGACAGCCAUGGGUCCCCAGAGACAGGAAAAAUAUGUGUUUUCUUAAAGAAUUAGAAAAGAAAACCUUGCUUUUUCCUGUGUGGCUCAUUGGUAGGAGAUCUCAAAUUCUAACCCUUGUUUUCUCUUUUACCUCUCUGUCUGCUAAAAAGCACUCCUUAGAUCCAGUAUCUAGCAUGGUGAGCCUCCUGGAUGCAGUGCUGCAGUGGCCACUGCUGGGUCAAAAACAAACACUGGGAAAGGAGGAAAAUGAUGUUUUUCUCUCUUUCAAUAAAGCAUUUGAAAUCUC
rnacentral:lncRNA from 1 species